AAUAAUACAGGAUUUUUUCAAGGCCCUAUUACUGGAAAGAGCAAACAUUACACUGUUUAGCAAGGAUUCAUUGGAGAUUUGCUAUCAACUCUGGUGCUAGUAGCCAUGGUGAUUCCAGCUUCAA